rnacentral:rRNA from 1 species
GUUCAAAGUCGUAGUUGGAUUUCUGUCGGUGAGUGGCGCCCGCUCUUGUGGUGAGUAGUCGUCAUGCCGCCGGCAUCUUCUUGGGGAGCGUGUCUGCACUUCAUGUGUGGCGCGCAAGCCAGGACAUUUACUUUGAGGAAAUGAGAGUGUUUCAAGCAGGCGCACGCCGUGAAUACGUUAGCAUGGGAUAAUAGCAUCGGACCUCGCUCCAAAGCUGUUGGUUUCUUGGGUCGAGGUAAAGGUGAAUAGGGAUUGUUGGGGGCAUUCGUAUUUAACUGUCAGAGGUGAAAUUCUUGGAUUUGUUGAAGACGGACUACUGCGAAAGCAUCUGCCAAAGAUGUUCUCAUUGAUCAAGAACGAAAGUUAGGUGAUCGAAGACGAUCAGAUACCGUCCUAGUCUUAACCAUAAACUAUGCCGACUGGAGAUAGGGGGUCGUUAAAUUGGUGACGCCUUCUGCAUCUUGAGAGAAAUCAAAGUCUUUGGGUUCCGGGGGGAGUAUGGUCGCAAGGCUGAAACUUAAAGGAAUUGACGGAAGGGCACCACCAGGAGUGGAGCCUGCGGCUUAAUUUGACUCAACACGGGGAAACUUACCAGGUCCAGACAUAGUGAGGAUUGACAGACUGAUAGCUCUUUCGAGAUUCUAUGGGUGGUGGUGCAUGGCCGUUCUUAGUUGGUGGAGUGAUUUGUCUGGUUAAUUCCGUUAACGA